GUUAUGACCGGCGUGGCCUAUAGCCGGCGUAGGCCCAUUGGGCGUUAAUAUUAGCGGCUUGGCCCGCAAGUUAUCUUAGGUAAAUUACUUUAGGAAAGUUAUCUUAGGCUCGAGUUAUAAAUACUAGUUGUAAGACAUCAAUUGAGAUCAAGCAAUAAAGAUAUUAUCUUCUGUUGCCCGGCUCCCCAAGGAGCCGGAACCCUAGCCUCCGCCGCGCCUAACCCUAGCCGCGACGGCGCCAUCUCGCCGGCGCGCCCGCUCCAGCCCUCGCUCCCCUCCUCCCUGCCCGUACAACCUACGCCGGAGGCCCGGUAGGAACCCUAGUCCUACCAAUUUGGUAUCCAGAUAUUCCAGGCUGAUCAUGUCGCUCCCUCCACCACCGCCGCCGCUCAACACCACCA
rnacentral:lncRNA from 1 species